GCUCUGUCUGCAGGUGUCUGAAGGCCAGGAUGGUCUCCCCAUGGCAGCUCCUCUGGCUGCUGGUGCUCUGGGCUCAGGAUUCCCGAGGAGCCAUUGUGCUGAUCCAGGCUCCAGCCUCCUUGUCUGGGUCUCCAGGAGAGAGAGUCACCCUCAGCUGCAAGGCCAGUGAAGGUGUAACAUCUUAUGGUGCUACCUGGUUAAACUGGUACCAAGAGAAACCUGGUCAAGCCCCAAGACUCCUCAUCUACAGGGCUACCAGCCUGGCAUCUGGAGUCCCUGCCCGCUUCAGUGGCAGUGGGUCUGGGACAGAUUUCACUCUCACCAUCAGCAGCUUGGAGCCUGAGGAUGCUGGAAAUUAUUACUGUCAGCAGAAUUGGACGGUGCCCCUAGGGACUCACAUCCUUGCUAUCUCUGUUUCUGAUCACACAUGUUCCUCAUUAGAAAAAGUCACCAUCAGCUGCAAAACCAGUCAGGGUAUUGCCUAUAAUUUAGCCUGGUACCAUCAGCCACCUGGACAGUCUCCCACACUCCUGAUCUAUAGUGCUUCAACUCUGCCCUUUGGGGUCCCUGCUCCCUUCAGUGACAGUGGGUCUGGGACAGACUACACUCUUACUAUCUGCAGUGUGGAGGCUAAGGAUGUUGGACAUUACUACUGUCGGCAAUAUUAUGAGGACCCUAACCUACAGUGA